rnacentral:lncRNA from 1 species
UAAGUAGUACUUUAUUAAGUAGCGGUAUAAGUACAAUAUAACAAUCAUAUCUUCAGAAGUUUAUAGCAACACAGUUGGUUAAAACUUAUCCUGCUAUACAGAGUAUAACAGUGAAUGCAACCAUUUGUUUGAUGAAUGUAUCGCUUUUUUAAAAAAUAAAGAUAUUAUAAACUUUACAGAACAAUCUUGCAAAUUUGUAAGAUGACCCAUCUUACCUGGACAUCUGAUGGCUAAUUUUAAGUCUUUUAUCAAGUCAUAAUACCAUAUCUAUGAUUUCUGCAGCUACACUGAUGAUCCCGGGUCUGCAUAGGUCACACAUCCAGCUAUGAAGCUAGAAAGAAAUAAUGAAAAGGAUCGAGAAUCCAGCCCAAUGUAAUCUACUAAUGAGAAAUGGCUGCUAUCAGAAGCACUAAGCAUAAUCUAUGUGAAGGAAGACUAGGUCCUGGGACUGUCUGUCUAGACAAUAUUAUCAAGGCCUUGAAG